AGUGAACGCUGGCGGUAGGCCUAACACAUGCAAGUCGAACGGCAGCACAGUAAGAGCUUGCUCUUACGGGUGGCGAGUGGCGGACGGGUGAGGAAUACAUCGGAAUCUACUUUUUCGUGGGGGAUAACGUAGGGAAACUUACGCUAAUACCGCAUACGACCUACGGGUGAAAGCAGGGGAUCUUCGGACCUUGCGCGAUUGAAUGAGCCGAUGUCGGAUUAGCUAGUUGGCGGGGUAAGGGCCCACCAAGGCGACGAUCCGUAGCUGGUCUGAGAGGAUGGUCAGCCACACUGGAACUGGGACACGGUCCAGACUCCUACGGGAGGCAGCGGUGGGGAAUAUUGGACAAUGGGCGCAAGCCUGAUCCAGCCAUACCGCGUAGGUGAAGAAGGCCUUCGGGUUGUAAAGCCCUUUUGUUGGGAAAGAAAAGCAGCAGGUUAAUACCCCGCUGUUCUGACGGUACCCAAAGGAUAAGCACCGGCUAACUUCGUG
rnacentral:rRNA from 1 species